UAGGGAAUCUUCGGCAAUGGGGGGAACCCUGACCGAGCAACGCCGCGUGAGUGAAGAAGGUUUUCGGAUCGUAAAGCUCUGUUGUUAAGGAAGAACGAGUGUGAGAAUGGAAAGUUCAUACUGUGACGGUACUUAACCAGAAAGGGACGGCUAACUACGUGCCAGCAGCCUCGGUAAUAUGAAGGUCCCGAGCGUUGUCCGGAUUUAUUGGGCGUAAAGCGAGCGCAGGCGGUUAGAUAUGUGUGAAGUUAAAGGCGGUGGCUCAACCAUUGUAGGCUUUGGAAACUGUUUAACUUGAGUGCAGAAGGGGAGAGUGGAAUUCCAUGGGAAGCGGUAAAAUGCGUAGGUAUAUGGAGGAACACCGGUGGCGAAAGCGGCUCUCUAGUCUGUAACUGACGCUGAGGCUCGAAAGCGUGGGGAGCGAACAGG
rnacentral:rRNA from 1 species